rnacentral:rRNA from 1 species
GCAAAACGCGAAGAACCUUACCAGGCCUUGACAUGCAGAGAACUUUCCAGAGAUGGAUUGGUGCCUUCGGGAACGUCUGACACAGGUGCUGCAUGGCUGUCGUCAGCUCGUGUCGUGAGAUGUUGGGUUAAGUCCCGUAACGAGCGCAACCCUUGUCCUUAGUUACCAGCACGUUAUGGUGGGCACUCUAAGGAGACUGCCGGUGACAAACCGGAGGAAGGUGGGGAUGGACGUCAAGUCAUCAUGGCCCUUACGGCCUGGGCUACACACGUGCUACAAUGGUCGGUACAGAGGGUUGCCAAGCCGCGAGGUGGAGCUAAUCUCACAAAACCGAUCGUAGUCCGGAUCGCAGUCUGCAACUCGACUGCGUGAAGUCGGAAU